GACAGAGGGUGGCAAACGUUGUUCGGAAUUACUGGGCGUAAAGCGCGUGUAGGCUGCCCUGCAAGUCGGAUGUGAAAGCCCUGGGCUCAACCUAGGAAGUGCACUCGAAACUGCAGGGCUGGAGUCCUGGAGAGGAAGGCGGAAUUCUCGGUGUAGAGGUGAAAUUCGUAGAUAUCGAGAGGAACACCGGUGGCGAAGGCGGCCUCUGGACAGUGACUGACGCUGAGACGCGAAAGCGAGGGGAGCAAACAGGG
rnacentral:rRNA from 1 species